AUAAAUCUCCCCCAAUGACCCUAAGCACACGGCCAAGACAACAGAGGAGCGGCAUAGGGACAACUUUGUGAAUGUCUUGGGGUGGCCCAGUCAGAGCCUAAACCCACUAGAACCUCUAUUCAGUGUCAGGGUUCUGCCAGCCGAUCCGAGUGACCAUGUGCAUGGUGGUACUGGGAGAGAUAGUGGUCAGCGUUUUUAGUUGGUGAUAUAAGAAAGCACUGGGUAUAGCGGGGGCACCGCUCAUUUUAUCUUACAACAACAGCAACACAGUCGUAUCCUGCAGCCGGCCUCAAUAUACCAAAAUGUGAAAAAAAGUGAAAGGGUGUGAAUACUUUCCGAACACACCAUAAUCUCGUUUUGCGGCUUAUUCUGCACAUAGAUCUUUCGAGUUCUGUUGCCAAGUGACUUUGUAAAUGCCGGGAACAUCGCGCAGGAGGCUGGAUGUGAAAAGAAGAUUAAAUCGGUGCAAAUGACAACAGACUAAUUGAAUUAGAAGAGAGAUGAGGUGGGACGGAGGGGAGCCGGGUCCUGUUCUCCUGGAUACACCUCAUCCAUGGUACAGGGUAAAAUCCGGCUUCAUAUACUAUGUUCCGAUCACUGGUAUCAAUGCACAUGCUCAGUCGCAAUAAAAAAGGUCACACGUCUUCCUCCCAUCACCAUCGAGGCCGCGGCUUCUACUAACCCAGAUAAUGGUCUCUUUAUCACCCUGCUGGCGACUGCGGGGACACAUCACCUUGUAUGACGGUGACACCGGACAAUUGUUUCUCUACAGCUGUGAAGAGGAUCAUUAUUUCAUCCUGUAGCAGUCUCGGUCACGUCAGGUCUCAUCUGUGUUCCUCAGACAUUGUAUUCCUUGGGCAGAACACUACAGGAGGUAACUUCUGCUUUCUUAGACUUCACGUUCUCGGGUGUUCCUAGUAGUUUUCAGGUUGACAUAAGGCCUUGGGACCUAUAUUUAGGAUGGCAUCUUGUGACUAGACUCGUUUGCGCAUAAGUCUCAACAUGUGGCCCAAAGAGGUGUCCCUGCACAGGAAGAAAGACAAAAGUAUCUACUGUCCAAAUCAACAAUAUGGUGCAUUGUUAAAAAGAAGGGAAUAGCUGGUAAGAUUUAGUCAUAGAAGACUAAUAUAGUG